rnacentral:rRNA from 1 species
GAUGAACGCUGGCGGCGUGCUUAACACAUGCAAGUCGAACGGAAAGGCUCCUGCUUGCAGGGGUACUCGAGUGGCGAACGGGUGAGUAACACGUGGGUGAUCUGCCCUGCACUUCGGGAUAAGCCUGGGAAACUGGGUCUAAUACCGGAUAGGACCACAUUUUGGAUGGUGUGGUGGAAAGUUUUUCGGUGUGGGAUGAGCUCGCGGCCUAUCAGCUUGUUGGUGGGGUAAUGGCCUACCAAGGCGUCGACGGGUAGCCGGCCUGAGAGGGUGUACGGCCACAUUGGGACUGAGAUACGGCCCAGACUCCUACGGGGGGCAGCAGUGGGGAAUAUUGCACAAUGGGCGCAAGCCUGAUGCAGCGACGCCGCGUGGGGGAUGACGGCCUUCGGGUGGUAAACUCCUUUCGCUAGGGACGAAGCGCAAGUGACGGUACCUGGAGAAGAAGCACCGGCUAACUACGU